rnacentral:rRNA from 1 species
AAUGAACGCUGGCGGCGCGCCUAAUACAUGCAAGUCGAGCGAGAAGACGUAGCAAUACGUUUGUAAAGCGGCGAACGGGUGAGGAAUACAUGGGUAACCUACCCUCGAGUGGGGAAUAACUAGCCGAAAGGUUAGCUAAUACCGCGUACGCUCCUUGGACUUCGGUUCAGGGAGGAAAGCGAUACCGUGGGUAUCGCGCUCUUGGUUGGGCUCAUGUCCUAUCAGCUUGUUGGUGAGGAACGGCUCACCAAGGCUUCGACGGGUAGCUGGUCUGAGAGGACGAUCAGCCACACUGGCACUGCGACACGGGCCAGACUCCUACGGGAGGCAGCAGUAAGGAAUAUUGCGCAAUGGGCGAAAGCCUGACGCAGCGACGCCGCGUGGGGGAUGAAGGUCUUCGGAUUGUAAA